rnacentral:rRNA from 1 species
CAGGCAUUAUGAGGUGUAGCGUAUAAGUCGUAAACUUUGAUCUUUUGUCUCAAACAAGUCCCCUUGACAGAGGUUCCACAGAAGGUGCAAGUCCUGUACGUUGAGAUAAUUGAUCGAUAUUUGCGUGCUUUAGAGUCGGGUUGUUUGGGAUCGCAGCCCAAAGUCGGUGGUAAACUUCAUCUAAGACUUAAUAUUGCCACGAGACCGAUAGCAAACAAGUACUGUGAAGGAAAGUUGCAAAGCACUUUGAAGAGAGAGUUAAAGAGGACGUGAAACCGGURAGGUGGAAACGGAUAGAGUCGGCGUAUCWUUCAAKUAUUCAKUUACAUUAUUUUUAUGUUGUGAYCUCUGAGCUCCAGAUUGGGACAGAGGGAAUCAGCAUAAUUUUUUGUGRUGCAUUUACUUGAUUGGUGCUUGGGGAUGUUUGAGGCAGAUUUGUUUCCGUCGUUUUGAGGCCAGCUUGCUGGUACCCAAACGGUGUUAGCAUUUUUUGUCUUGGGCAUUUGAGUAUGGCUCACGKGYAUUUAUUGGWYAGAUCUGAGUGUAAGUUACGGUCGCAUGCGACACGUGCUUUUCAAUUAGUUCGGUCCAGUUAAUGCUCUCGUACUCGUUCCCCAUGUAAAAGCCGGUCAUCUAUCCGACCCGUCUUGAAACACGGACCAAGGAGUUUAUCGUGUGCGCAAGUUUUUGGGUGUUAAAAACYUAAAAGCGAAAUGAAAGUAAAUGRCUCUUUAGAGUCUGAUGUGCGAUCUUGUAAAAAAGUGYAGCAUGGCCCCAUUCUAACUGUUUACAGUAGGGUGGCGGAAGAGCGUACGCGGUGAGACCCGAAAGAUGGUGAACUAUUCCUGAGCAGGACGAAGCCAGAGGAAACUCUGGUGGAAGUCCGAAGCG